CGCGGUUAUAAUGAGACUAAGGCUUCAGUUAAGGCAGAUGCGUCGCUGGUACCCUGUGACGGAAUAGGGCGUUCCCUAUUCUUCCAAAAUAACGAAGUCAAGAUACUUAACUUCUCUGGGCCCCAAUUUUAUCAAACUUAAAAUGCUGACCAUGUUGCCUGCUGUACGUGGAUCAUGGAGCGAUUUUGGGACUUAAUUGAGGCUUGCCAACAGCAUUUUUCAAAGAGCUAGAACAAACAUUCCUAAAACUUGUAUGGAACCACAAAGACCUCAAAUAGCCAAAGCAACUUUGAAGAAGAAAUUUGCAAAGCUGGAGGCAUCACAGUUUCAAACUUCAAGUUAUAUUACAAAGCUGUGGUAAUCAAAACAGUAUGGUACUGGCAGAAAAAUAGAUACUAGCUCAAUGGAACAGAAUAGAAAACCUAGAAAUGAAUCCACAACUAUAUGGUCAAUUGAUCUUUGACAAAGCAGGAAAGAAUAUCCAAGAGAAAAAGACAGUCUUUUCAACAAAUGGUAUUGGGAAAACUGGACAGCAACAUGUGAAAAUGCAACUGGACUACUUUCUUACACCAUACACAAAAAUAAAUUCAAAAUGGAUGAAAGACCUAAAUGUAAGACAGGAAACCAUCAAAAUCCUAGAAGAGGCAAUAACCUCUUUGACGCUGGCCAUAGCAACUUCUUUCUAGGUAUGUCUUUGGAGGCAAGGGAAACAAAAGCAAAAAUAAACUAUUGUAACUUCAUUAAACUAAAAAGCUUCUGCACAGCAAAAGAACUCAUGAACAAAACUAAAAGUCAGCCUGCAGAAUGGGAGAAGAUAUUUGCAAAUGACAUACCCAAUAAAAGGUUAGUAUCCAAAAUCUAUUAGAAAUUUAUCAAACUCAGCACCCCAAGCAGUUAUAACCCAGUUAAAAGUGGCAGAAGACAUGAAUAGGCAUUUUUCCAAAGAGGCCAACAGACACAGGAAAAGAUACUCAACACCACUCAUCAAAUGAAAUGCAAAUCAAAACUCCAGUAAGACAUCAUCACCUCAUACCUGUCAGAGUGGCUGAAAUCAACAACACAAGAAACAACAGGUAUUGGCAAGGAUAUGGAGAAAGGGGAAUACCGUUGCACUGUUGGUGGGAAUGCAAACUGGUGCAGCCACACUGGAAAACAGUAUGGAGGUUCUUCAAAAAGUUAAAACCACCCUAUGAUCCAGCAGUUGCAUUACUAGAUAUUUACCCAAAGAAUACAAAGAUCCUAAAUCAAAGAGGUAUAUGCACCCUGAUGUUUAUAGCAGCAUUAUCUACAUGAGCCAAAGUAUGGAAGCAGCCCAAAUGUCUAUUGAUUGAUGAAUGGAUAAAAAAGAUGUGGUGUGUAUUGCUACAUAUAUGUAUAUAUAUAUACAUAUAUACACACAUAUAUUUAUACACACAUAUAUUGGUAUAUUAUUCAACCAUAAAAAAGAAUGAAAUCUUGCCAUUUGCAAUGACAUGGAUGGAGCUACAGAGUAUUAUGCUAAGCAAAGUAAGUCAGAGAAAGACAAAUACCAUAUGAUUUCACUCAUAUGUGGAAUUUAAGAAACAAAAUGAGCAAAGGAAAGAAAGAGAGAGGCAAUCCAAGAAAGAGACUCUUAACUAUAGAGAACAAAACCUAUGGUUAUCAGAAGGGAAGUAGGUGGAGGGAAUGGGUUAAAUAGAUGAUGAGGAUUAAGGAAUGUACUUGUGAUGAGCACUGGGUGAUGUAUGGAAGUGUUGAAUCACUAUAUCAUACCUAAAACUAUUAUUACACUGUUUGUUAACUAAGAAAUUUAAAUAAAAACUAAAAAAAAGAGUAUACCCUCCCCCCUCCAAAAAAAACCUUCUGUGCUUCAAAGGGUAGCAUCAAGGAAGUGAAAAGACAGUCUACAGAAUAGGAGAAAAUAUUUGCAAAUCAUCUAUCUGCUAAGGAACUUAUAGCCAGAAUGUAUGAAGAACUCUCACAAUUCAGCCACAAAAAGACAAAUAAUCCAAUUAGAAGACAGCAAAGGAUUUGAAUAGAUGCUUCUUUAAAGAAGACACAUGAAUGGCCAAUAAUCACACAAAAAAUUGCUCAACAUCGUGAGCAAUCAGAGAAAUGCAUAUCAAAACUAUAUUUACUAGGGUGACUAAAAUAAAAAUGACAGACAAAAACAAGUAUUAGUAAGGCUGUGGAGAAAUUGGAACCCUCAUACACUGCUUAUGGUAAUGUAAAAUGGUGCAGCCACUUUCAAAAACAGUUUGGCAGUUCUUGAAGAAGUUAAACAUAGGGGAUCCCUGGGUGGCUCAGCAGUUUGGCGCCUGCCUUUGGCCCAGGGUGCGAUCCUGGAGUCCCGGGAUUGAGUCCCACAUCAGGCUCCUGGUAUGGAGCCUGCUUCUCCUUCCUCCUGUGUCUCUGCCACUCUCUCUCUCUUUCUCUCUCUCUCUCUCUAUCAUAAAUAAAUAAAUAAAUAAAUAAAUAAAUAAAUAAAUAUUAAAAAAAAGAAGUUAAACAUAGAGUUAUCUAUGUUAUCUAUGGCCCAAGAAUUCCUACGUAUAUAGUUCAGAAAUUUGAAAAUAUACAUCCAUGCAUAAGCUAGAGUACAAAUGUUUAUUCAUAAUAACCCCAAAGGAGAAACAAUCCAGUGUUCAUCAACUGAUGAACAGAUAAACAAAAUGUGAUCUAUCCAUCAAAUGGAAUAUUAUUUGGCAAUAAAAAGAAUUAUAGUAUUGAUACAUGCUAAAACAUGAAUGAAUCUUGAGCAAGAUUAGCCCACAUGCAAAGUUGGAGGGAGCAGUCUACAAGAGAUUACCUUCACUUUUAAGACUAAUCACAAAUUGGGAGUUCCUAAAGCCCUCUUAAAUUUGAUCAUUCAUUAGAGGGACAGAACUCACUGAAAGGUGUUAUCCUCAUGAUUUAUUACAGGAAAAGGUUCUAGAUUAAAAUCAGCCAAGGAAAGAAGUGCAUAGGGCGGAGUCCAGGAGGAUUCCAUAUGAAGCAACCAGUUGACCUCUCCCUAUGUAACCAGGACAGCAUUGCUUUCCUGGCAUUGGUAUAGACAAUAUUCAGGGAGUACUGCCAACCAGGGAAGCUCACCUGAGCCCUGAUGUCCAAAGUUUUUACUCGGCCUCCAUCAUGUAGGUAUGUCUGAUUGCUUUUGUGGUUGAUCUCAGUCUCUAGCCCCUGCAGACAUCUACUGAUACCGGGUGACCUCAAGCCCACACUAAAUCACAUUGCUGGUCUUUCUGGUCAGCCCCCACCCUAAGACUAUUUGAUGUGGGAAGCCUCCACCCUAAACCAUAUUUUUAGACUAUCCAGUGCCCUAAACUCGGAGGCAAACAAAAAUACUCUGAUUAAGCAUGAUAUUUCACAAGUUUAGAGAUUACUUCCCAGAAGCUGAAGACAAAAGCCAGAUCUCUGGCCAAGGUGAAAUUCUUGACUACAGAAACCUUGGAAACAUGUUAAGUGAAAGAAGCCACUCACAAAAGGCCAGAUAUAAUUCCAUUCAUAUGAAAUUUCCAGAAUAGACAAAUGCAUAGAGACAAAAAGUAGAUUAAUAGUUACUGCGGAGGAGGGGGCUAGUGCUGGCUGGUUUAGUCUGUAAAGCAUGGGACUCUUGUCCAUCUCAGCAUUGUGAGUUCAAGCCCCAUAUUGGGCACAGAGCUCACUGAAAAAAAAAAAAAAAGUUACCUGGGGCUGGUUUGUGUGGGGAUGGAGGAUGGGAAAAGUGAGUGACUGCUAAUAGGUAAAGGAUUUCUUGUCAGAGUGUUGAAAAAUUCUAUAGUGCUGAUGGUGACACAAUUCUGUGAAUAUACUAAAAACCACCGAUCUGUAUACUUUAAAAGGUGAAUUUUAUGGAAUGUGAAAUAUAUUUCAAUAAAGCUGUAAAAGUGAAGUCAAGUAAAAUGCAAAAUUAAUAAAACGAAUAAAUAAGUGAAU